rnacentral:rRNA from 1 species
UACGAAGGGGGGCUAGCGUUGCUCGGAAUGACUGGGCGUAAAGGGCGCGUAGGCGGAUGACACAGUCAGAUGUGAAAUUCCCGGGCUUAACCUGGGGGCUGCAUUUGAUACGUGUUGUCUAGAGUGAGGAAGAGGGUUGUGGAAUUCCCAGUGUAGAGGUGAAAUUCGUAGAUAUUGGGAAGAACACCGGUGGCGAAGGCGGCAACCUGGUCCUUGACUGACGCUGAGGCGCGAAAGCGUGGGGAGCAAACAGG